CCCAGGCAACAGGAGGGGACAGCAGAGCCAGGAGGGAAAGCCUGUGGCCCCUGACUCCUCUCACCCCGUACCAGGAGAAGGAGCAGGGCCGGCCACCAAUGGACACAGCCACAUCACUGCCUGCAUUCAGAUGGCUUCCUUCGAUGCCAAUCCAGGUGCCUCCGGACAGAGGCCCGCGGGAGGGGCUCACACGGUAGAAGGGCUGCACAGCACCUUGCCCACGUGCACUCCUAGCCGCACAUCCUCGAACCGCAGGCCCAGAUUCUCGCCAGUGAUGGGCUUCUCUUCUGGCUCCACGGCCCUGCUCCCUGCAGCCAAGUUCUAUCUCCUGUAGCCAUGAAGAAACCACAACCAUCACCAGCCUCCAACGUUAUCCUGCAAUGCUGCCUCAGACACUCCUUCCAACACCAGGGCAGCCUUGGCUCAGAGCUGGAGUCAAGCCCUGGGAAAGCAGGGCUAGCUGGGCCCAAUAGCAUCAGGAAAGCUCUGUGAACAUCAGUCUUGUCUGCUAAGCAGGCCAGGACUUCUGAGGUGUGAGGCACUUGUGACCCCACAGCCUAAGUACAGAUCAAAAGACCACUGUCCUGAGGAAUGAGGGCUGCUCCCACCUCCACCCGGGCGGCCUGCACUUAGGAUGACGGCCUCAAGGGCUGGCCUAGGGUUAGCUGCCUCCCACUUUCUGCAGCUGAUGACCUCAACUCGGUCUUGUGUUCGGGCCGAGGCAGGCAGCUUGACGUCUCUAAGGGGCGGCUCAGCAAUUCAUCAUUAUUUUAUCUGAAGGGAUUUAAUUGGAUCCUAUCAAAUUCCCUGAUACUCUCUCUUCCCUUUAAACACUGCUGAAGGGAAGAUAAAUGGGGGUCUGCAGAGACGGGGACAACAGAGAUGAGGGUGGAGAGUCACAGGAAGCAGAAUCUAGAAAAGAGGGGUGAUAAGAGUCAGAGGAGAGUGUGUGUGUGUGUGUACAGGCGUUGUGAGGAGCCAAUAAGGGAAGGACAGGCGGUGACCAACAGGAUGGGAGAUGGGAGGUGAAGCCUUCCCUGUUGGGUAGAGCUGUCCUUCCACUCCCCUGCAGCCCAUGCUAUCCUGGCGGCCGAUUCUGACCCCAACUCUGCCCUGUUAGACAGACCUGUCAGCCAAGGGCUGCUGGAACCAGGGGGUGGGGACAACUGAAGCCUCACCAAUAGUCCUGUGUCCAUAUGCCCCGCCAAUCUGAUCAUAAGCCUGUUCCACAAAA